UCGAUAACCCACGAUAAACCUUACCUGCUCUUGAACUGAUCAGCCUAUAUACCUCCGUCGCCAGUCCGCCUGCCAACAGAUGCCAAAGCGCAUACAACAGCCCUAUCACUCACACGACAGGUCAAGGUGUAGCUAAUGGGCUCAGGGAGAGAUGGGCUACAUUUUCUCCGUUAGAAAA
rnacentral:rRNA from 1 species